rnacentral:rRNA from 1 species
CCCCAGACUCCUACGGGAGGCAGCAGUGAGGAAUAUUGGUCAAUGGGCGAGAGCCUGAACCAGCCAAGUCGCGUGAGGGAAGACGGUCCUAUGGAUUGUAAACCUCUUUUGUCGGGGAGCAAAAAGGCCUCGUGAGGCCACAAGUGAGAGUACCCGAAGAAAAAGCAUCGGCUAACUCCGUGCCAGCAGCCGCGGUAAUACGGAGGAUGCGAGCGUUAUCCGGAUUUAUUGGGUUUAAAGGGUGCGUAGGCUGUGAGGUAAGUCAGCGGUGAAAUGCCCCCGCUCAACGGGGUGAAGUGCCAUUGAUACUGCCUUGCUGGAAUGCGGAUGCCGUGGGAGGAAUGUGUGGUGUAGCGGUGAAAUGCAUAGAUAUCACACAGAACACCGAUUGCGAAGGCAUCUCACGAAUCCGCGAUUGACGCUGAUGCACGAAAGCGUGGGUAUCAAACAGGAUUAGAUACCCUCGUAC